GUCGGCGUCGCUGUUCGCGCAUGCAGCGCAGUCGACGCAAGAAAUGAGAGAAAAACCAUUCUCUCAUUUUGUCUCAUUUCAAAUUUUACGCUCUGAAACGAAAAAAGAGAGCGGAGGCAGCGCAGCUUGCCUUUUCAUUUUCUUUCCUUCUCCUUCUUCGUUUAAAAUUUGCUUCUUCUUCUUUUUUUGGGCGCAAAUAGGAUUACACAUUGUGUGUGUGUGUGUGCGUGUGCCUGUGUGUGUGGAAGAGCGAGAGGGCCGUACUCAUCUUAUUGGAAUUGGAAGUACAGUGGACACUUGGCAACUGGAAAGGGAUGCAUGAUCCUAGAUAACCGCAGGAGUAUUAUUUGUGUAGCUCUUCUUACCAUAUUUUUUGUAAUACUUCAGUCACUAUAAGCUUUAAACUCUAUUAAGUUACUAGAACUAUGUAUAUAUUAUAUUUGCAAAAUAUAAAAAAAAAAAUAUAGUAACCGCUUUAAAGAUAAAUGAAGUUCUAGAAAGUGAAUCCGUAAACUAGUUAAAAGUGAAACAAAAUUAACGGAUUAAAGGUACAAAGCAGUAUUACCAACUUGUCUGUGCUACGAGUGCACACUGUAUGUAGCACCCACAUACACAUAUGCAUUUUCCUGGAUGCAUUUUGGAUUUUCGGGCAAAUCCCGUUGCCAUUGGCCACGCUGGCCAUGUUUGUUGCCCUUUCUGUCGCACUUGCACAUCAUCUAGCGAUGCACAUCCAGAUCUUCGUGUGCAUAUGUAUGUGUGUAUGUAUGUAAAUACAUUUGUUUGUUAUGUGCUCAUCCAUAGCUGUGAGCAUCCCCAACCAUAUCCGUAUCCAUUAACCCCCGUGCGGACACUUCCUGGCCAGUUCCUCAACCUUAACCUCUAGGCUGUGUCCAGAGCGGAAGUCGGAGACGAUCGAGUCUCUUUUUGGUCCCUUUUCACCUUUUCAGGGUGCGUCAUCAGCAAUCACUCAGCAUGGAAAUUAACAUCAUUGUACCGCAAGAAAUACCAUGUAGCUUGCCUCUGACUCUGGUUUAUAUUAUUCACCAAUUUACUUGCGGUAUAACAUUAUUAUUAUGGUGUUUUCUUUAUUACUCAUGCUUGUUCAGUGAAGUUUCUGGCUACUGUCAAAUUUGUCUCCGAUUUUUCUUCGAGUGUUCUGCAAGAACUUUGUCGUUACAGUUGACCGCCCCAUAAGACUUCAAUGUUGCCAAGUAGACGAGAGGUCAAUUUUAAAGAGUGCGUCAGCUGCCGAAAGAAUGUAAAUUAGGUGACUAGCAACCCAUUUUCCAAGAGCAUCUCUUCCAAAAAUCGAUGCAUUCGAUCGAUUCUCCCUCCACUCGAAGAAAAAGUAAUGCAAAACAAUUGUAACAACAGAGGCGCAACAAUGAAAAUAAAAAUAAAUGAGCACAAUAAUACAAUGCAAGCGCACAAGCAAAAAAAGGCGGCGAAAUUGUGCAAAAAAUGCAGCAAGAGUUCAAUACACUCGCCCACUCACCCACACUUCUGCACUCACACCGACACGAACACGCGCCCCUACGCACACACACACACGCACACACACCACAGCACUCGCACACUAGCACACACAGCGACACGUGCAACGCGCUGUUUGUACACAAUUUAAUAAUAUUUACGUUUUGUUUAUAAUGAACUUGAAAAAUUCGCACAGUGGUUCAGCGAUUAAAAACGAAAACUUGCGGAAAAGUGGCAAAAUUAUGCCGCAAUUGGGUAUAUUCUAUCGUAAAAGUUUUUACAGAUACAUUUUGAGAGAUCCUAAGAUCCUUAAUAAUAUUAACUCCCAAGUUUGUAUAUAUGUACAUAUAAUAUUGGAAAACAUUGCUGCGUGCGUCACUGUCUUUUUGAGUUGGUUGCGCAUGCGCGUGGGUGGCACAAUAAAUACAAUAAAUACAAUAAACACAAUAACAACAAUAUAAUGGUAAUGGCAGUGCGUGUUAAAUAAACAUUAAAAGCCAGCCAGAUAUGAUAUACGUACACUGCAUUUUUGCCAUAUGCUAACAGCUGAGAAACCAAAGUGUUUCAGUUUCAAUUUCAGUUUCGGUUUCAGUUUCUGUAUCAAUUUCCCUUUUCAAUUUGCCGUUUUCAAUGGAGACGGAAAGUGUUGGCGGUGCAAAUGUACUACUAGUGGCGGCUAAGUAAUAUCAAGUCAAACGAGAAGAAGAAGAGCAGCAGUAGCAGCAGCAGCAGAAGGGGCAACAUUAACAUUUAAUUGCCAACAUUUAGUUAGCAUUUAGCUUAGCAUAAAACAAAUAGCUAACAAUGCUGCCAACUGAAAAUCCCACGCGCUGCUCUUCAACAUUGAAAAACUACCCCUCCCCCUCCAUCGUCCUGCUCCAUAUAAUGUUGCGCGCUUUAUCACUUAGUUGUGGGUAUAUUUUACACAGAGAAAAACUACGACAUUCAGCCAAAACAAUUUUACCAAGAAAACUUAAGAGAAGGAAUUGCUUUACCACUUUCUCCUAUUCAUCGUGACAUAUGUGCAUAUAAAUAUUGAAAUGUUCUACCUCCUCUGCAGUUCGCAGCUGAAAAUGCGCUCAGUGUACUGGCCUGCAAUGCCUGAAAUUCGCUUUCGUUUUGGGAUUAUUAUUUGCAAAAGCAAAGUCAGCGCCAUAAUUGUUUUAAUUCGCACCCGUUUGCCAGUGAGUUGUUGCUGUGCUGUGUUGUUUGUUAACGUGAUUAAUGGGCGUUAUUGUUAUUGCUGUUGUUAUUGCUAUUGCUGUUGUCACCAGUGACAUGUCAAGGUGACUGGGCACCCGCCGCCACCCAAAAGCCACCCACAAUAGCAGUCACCCACCUGAUAAAGGUUAUUAAAAAGGCGCGCGCCGCAUUUAUUUUAUAUUUUCUUAUAUUUUUACCUUUCAUUUGGUUUUCCGCUUUGCCUAAACUUUGCCACCCCCGCACCCCUUACGAAAAAAAAACGAAAAAGAACAAUAACUAUGACCAGCCAAACAGCUUGUUUAAUAACAACAAUAAAAGCAACAACAAAUGUACAAUAAUAAUGCAGAACAAAGGUUUUGCGAAGUGAGCAAGUGGCUAAUACCCUGGAUUUUUUCUAUGUGUUUUAUAAAAUGCUUAAACUUUGGUUGUUAUUUAUAAGAGUAAUGCUGCAAUAGAAAGAAUUUGGUGUUUUUUUGUAAACAUAUUGUAUAGAUGAUUAAUAUGCCCCGGGAAAGAACGGGGUAUUCGCCACUUGUGGCCAAACAAAUGGCGUUAGCUGGUAGAAUGCGUCAGUUCGCAGUUUGCUUUUCGGUGAAUUUUCCCGCCAACUUGUGUUUGGGGUUACGGGGUACCAGCGACUGUGUGUUUAUUGCCACCAAUACAAACUAUAAAUCCAGUUCACAUACAUAUAUGUGUGUAUGUGUGUGACACAACAAGUGGGCAAAGCUGGUCGGGCCCCCACUUUUUCCACCCAAUGGGCUGUUGUAAACCGAUUGAAUUAGGCGGAAAAUGUCCAAUUCAUUGAAUUUGGGGGAAAUCCCAUGCAUUUGAUACGGAUUCGGUUCAAAAUUCGCUAUAACAUGUGGCCCUACAAUAAAUGUAGAGGAAAUGCCAAGUGAUUUAUGUAUACAGACUCUUAAAGAACUAAAAACAUCAUGAUGAUAUUAAGUACAAAAAAAGUAAUGAUGACUUUGUUUUUAUCACGUUGAAUAGAUUCAGGUCAAGAUAUAAUAAAUAUUAAUUUAUAUUUAGUGAGAUUCCCCACGCCAUACCAUACGUUUUCUAAGUCCUUAUCAUCAUCGCCAUUAACUUGGCUAAUAUUGCAUUUAUUGCUUAACCAUUCAUGGCACUGCGACACCCAAAACUCAGACAUUGUCUGUACAGGAGCUAAGCUCGUUAGAAACCAAUUGACUUUGCCGGAUCAACGACACUCGUAGGAAGACCGGAUGGUCUGCGGAACCGCGUCUGGCCAUCAUUUUGGUCAUUGUACUGGCCUGCGCCUGCACUCAUAGAGAUACAGAUACACUGCUUCCAGAUAGUUUUUUUUUUGGGUUGGACAACUGUCGCCGAUUAGCGCACGCGCCGCGUUUCUUCAAGCAGGUAGAUGUUCCAUAUAGGUAUAUUUGUACCCCCAAAGAGACUGGGUUUUAUGAUACAGCGGCGUCGGGAAUUAUGACGGCGGCUAUCGAUGGCUGGAUGUAUGGAUGGUUCGUUGGUUUUCGCUUGAUGCAACACCGCGGUCAUAUCACUAAAUCAUGCCGUACGGAAAUUGAUUGCCCCGUGAUGAAUAACGAACAGCCAAACUAAGCCACAUUCUUUCCGAUUUCACGAUUGUGAACGUCUUGCGGACUUCUCAGAUAAGGGCUCAUUAGUUGGCCAGCGACCGAGCGACCAAUUGUCGUAUCUGGGGUGUUUGUUUUUGGGGGUUUUCCAGCGUGAAAGACCUCGUGCCGCAUUUCUUUCGUGUUAAUUUCGUCAAUCGUCGCUGGGCGCCAGAAGCAUCUAAUCACAUGUAGCUCCAAACUUACACUUCUUCAUUCUCGUUGGCCAGCCAGUCAGCCAUCAGCCAUCAGCCAUCCAGUCAGCCAUCCAGCUCAUUGUGCAUCAUCACCGUGCUCAGUGGCUUUGGCUUUCGCUCGGUUCGGGUGCUGUUUCCUAUCUGCACAACGAGGAACCAACCGAUAGUCAUGGGGGUUCUAUAAAUAUAAAUAACUGGAAAUAUUUGCAAUUGGCCAUAAGCUUCAACUAGUGUUAUUCACAAAAUCAGUUAAACGUAUUUGGGGCUAUACCCACACAGCUGGCUUAAGACAUUUUUGUGCGUGUGGCCAUGAAUCAGUUGGGUUAAGUCAAUCGCCAUCGAAACCCUGAACUACUGCACCAGUACCAGCACCACAAAGUCGUCAUCGGGCAUUGGGCGUUCAUUGAGUAUCGCACCCACCCAGCCAAGCACCACCAUUACAACCCCCCCCCAUCGGAGCACCACCGAGAUGUGCCUACUCCAGCGAUAAGCAGCUGGAGCGUACAUACACACACCAUACACACCAUAUAGAUCGUGUUCGAGGGCGGGGGGUGGGGGAAGAGGGGCUGGUAGAUAGGAGCCGUGGAGUAUUUCGCUCGAAAUCGUUGUCGAACACACUCACUACCAAGUUCUGCUAACUCGAUUGUGGUUUCACAUUAUCUGAGAUCUGCGGAAUUUUGUGAAAAGUAUCGGUGCUGUGUGCGGGUGUGCCGGGUCCAAAAACUAAAAAGAAAACAAAUCAAAUAAAAUAAAAAACGCUUUGUAAGAUCUAUCGGCACUUAGUCAGCGGACAAGCAAAGGUGUGCGGCUGAGAUAAGUGGGGGAGAUCCAACAAGAGGUGAUCCAUGCUUGGGUUUACGUCUUUACAGGUGAUCAUCUAAAGUUCCCCGAUGGAUAGACUUUCGUCCUGUUGCUGUAUAACUAGAAAUAACUAGAAGCUAUGAGUCUAAAGGCGUAUUACUAGGUAACAUCUCCUGGUACCUAAUGGACUUUAUGAGUCACAGUUCCAUGACUUAAACUCAAACGUAUUCCGCGCCAGUUUCCAGGAGCAAGCCCCACUUUUUCCGAGAUUUUUGUCCUGGACUCCGGUGAUACGGUUUGCUCUGGAAUUCGGUUUGUUUGGCCAGCGUUUUGUGCUUUGGUGUUUUUUUUUUGUUUUUUGUGUUUCCCACAGUUUUCACAGAACGCAAAAUACAAGCCUUAUCAGGCAAUUUAUAUUUAUCACAACGCCAACAGAAACAGAAACGAUCUCACGGAUCGUCAUCCUCAUCGGAGUCUGGUAUCAGUAUCAAAUGAUUACCCGCAUCUACACUGGGCGCAAAUAAUUUAUUUAAUUUUCAUAUAUGUUGCUAAGUAUAAUUGCUGUUACGAAUAUUUGGUAAAUAAUAAAUAUUCUCUUUUCUUUUA